UAGGGAAUAUUGCAAAAUGGGCGAAAGCCCGAUGCAGCAACGCCGCGUGGGCGAUGAAGGCCUUCGGGUCGUAAAGCCCUUUUUGAGGGGAUGAGGAAGGACAGUACCCUCAGAAUAAGCCUCGGCUAACUACGUGCCAGCAGCCGCGGUAAAACGUAGGAGGCGAGCGUUAUCCGGAUUUACUGGGCGUAAAGCGCGUGCAGGCGGAUUGGAGAGUUGGAUGUGAAAGCUCCCGGCUUAACUGGGAGAGGUCGUUCAAUACUUCCAGUCUUGAGUGCAGUAGAGGGAAGUGGAAUUCCUGGUGUAGUGGUGAAAUGCGUAGAUAUCCGGAGGAACACCAGUGGCGAAAGCGGCUUCCUGGACUGUAACUGACGCUCAGACGCGAAAGCUAGGGUAGCAAACG
rnacentral:rRNA from 1 species